GGUUAAGCGACUAAGCGUACACGGUGGAUGCCCCGGCAGUCAGAGGCGAUGAAGGACGUGCUAAUCUGCGAUAAGCGUCGGUAAGGUGAUAUGAACCGUUAUAACCGGCGAUUUCCGAAUGGGGAAACCCAGUGUGAUUCGUCACACUAUCAUUAACUGAAUCCAUAGGUUAAUGAGGCGAACCGGGGGAACUGAAACAUCUAAGUACCCCGAGGAAAAGAAAUCAACCGAGAUUCCCCCAGUAGCGGCGAGCGAACGGGGAGCAGCCCAGAGCCUGAAUCAGUGUGUGUGUUAGUGGAAGCGUCUGGAAAGGCGCGCGAUACAGGGUGACAGCCCCGUACACAAAAAUGCACAUACUGUGAGCUCGAUGAGUAGGGCGGGACACGUGGUAUCCUGUCUGAAUAUGGGGGGACCAUCCUCCAAGGCUAAAUACUCCUGACUGACCGAUAGUGAACCAGUACCGUGAGGGAAAGGCGAAAAGAACCCCGGCGAGGGGAGUGAAAAAGAACCUGAAACCGUGUACGUACAAGCAGUGGGAGCACGCUUAGGCGUGUGACUGCGUACCUUUUGUAUAAUGGGUCAGCGACUUAUAUUCUGUAGCAAGGUUAACCGAAUAGGGGAGCCGAAGGGAAACCGAGUCUUAACUGGGCGUUAAGUUGCAGGGUAUAGACCCGAAACCCGGUGAUCUAGCCAUGGGCAGGUUGAAGGUUGGGUAACACUAACUGGAGGACCGAACCGACUAAUGUUGAAAAAUUAGCGGAUGACUUGUGGCUGGGGGUGAAAGGCCAAUCAAACCGGGAGAUAGCUGGUUCUCCCCGAAAGCUAUUUAGGUAGCGCCUCGUGAAUUCAUCUCCGGGGGUAGAGCACUGUUUCGGCAAGGGGGUCAUCCCGACUUACCAACCCGAUGCAAACUGCGAAUACCGGAGAAUGUUAUCACGGGAGACACACGGCGGGUGCUAACGUCCGUCGUGAAGAGGGAAACAACCCAGACCGCCAGCUAAGGUCCCAAAGUCAUGGUUAAGUGGGAAACGAUGUGGGAAGGCCCAGACAGCCGGGAUGUUGGCUUAGAAGCAGCCAUCAUUUAAAGAAAGCGUAAUAGCUCACUGGUCGAGUCGGCCUGCGCGGAAGAUGUAACGGGGCUAAACCAUGCACCGAAGCUGCGGCAGCGACACUAUGUGUUGUUGGGUAGGGGAGCGUUCUGUAAGCCUGUGAAGGUGUGCUGUGAGGCAUGCUGGAGGUAUCAGAAGUGCGAAUGCUGACAUAAGUAACGAUAAAGCGGGUGAAAAGCCCGCUCGCCGGAAGACCAAGGGUUCCUGUCCAACGUUAAUCGGGGCAGGGUGAGUCGACCCCUAAGGCGAGGCCGAAAGGCGUAGUCGAUGGGAAACAGGUUAAUAUUCCUGUACUUGGUGUUACUGCGAAGGGGGGACGGAGAAGGCUAUGUUGGCCGGGCGACGGUUGUCCCGGUUUAAGCGUGUAGGCUGGUUUUCCGGGCAAAUCCGGAAAAUCAAGGCUGAGGCGUGAUGACGAGGCACUACGGUGCUGAAGCAACAAAUGCCCUGCUUCCGGGAAAAGCCUCUAAGCAUCAGGUAACAUCAAAUCGUACCCCAAACCGACACAGGUGGUCAGGUAGAGAAUACCAAGGCGCUUGAGAGAACUCGGGUGAAGGAACUAGGCAAAAUGGUGCCGUAACUUCGGGAGAAGGCACGCUGAUAUGUAGGUGAAGUCCCUUGCGGAUGGAGCUGAAAUCAGUCGAAGAUACCAGCUGGCUGCAACUGUUUAUUAAAAACACAGCACUGUGCAAACACGAAAGUGGACGUAUACGGUGUGACGCCUGCCCGGUGCCGGAAGGUUAAUUGAUGGGGUCAGCGCAAGCGAAGCUCUUGAUCGAAGCCCCGGUAAACGGCGGCCGUAACUAUAACGGUCCUAAGGUAGCGAAAUUCCUUGUCGGGUAAGUUCCGACCUGCACGAAUGGCGUAAUGAUGGCCAGUGCUGUCUCCACCCGAGACUCAGUGAAAUUGAACUCGCUGUGAAGAUGCAGUGUACCCGCGGCAAGACGGAAAGACCCCGUGAACCUUUACUAUAGCUUGACACUGAACAUUGAGCCUUGAUGUGUAGGAUAGGUGGGAGGCUUGGAAGUGUGGACGCCAGUCUGCAUGGAGCCGACCUUGAAAUACCACCCUUUAAUGUUUGAUGUUCUAACGUUGACCCGUAAUCCGGGUUGCGGACAGUGUCUGGUGGGUAGUUUGACUGGGGCGGUCUCCUCCUAAAGAGUAACGGAGGAGCACGAAGGUUGGCUAAUCCUGGUCGGACAUCAGGAGGUUAGUGCAAUGGCAUAAGCCAGCUUGACUGCGAGCGUGACGGCGCGAGCAGGUGCGAAAGCAGGUCAUAGUGAUCCGGUGGUUCUGAAUGGAAGGGCCAUCGCUCAACGGAUAAAAGGUACUCCGGGGAUAACAGGCUGAUACCGCCCAAGAGUUCAUAUCGACGGCGGUGUUUGGCACCUCGAUGUCGGCUCAUCACAUCCUCGGGGCUGAAGUAGGUCCCAAGGGUAUGGCUGUUCGCCAUUUAAAGUGGUACGCGAGCUGGGUUUAGAACGUCGUGAGACAGUUCGGUCCCUAUCUGCCGUGGGCGCUGGAGAACUGAGGGGGGCUGCUCCUAGUACGAGAGGACCGGAGUGGACGCAUCACUGGUGUUCGGGUUGUCAUGCCAAUGGCACUGCCCGGUAGCUAAAUGCGGAAGAGAUAAGUGCUGAAAGCAUCUAAGCACGAAACUUGCCCCGAGAUGAGUUCUCCCUGACCCUUUAAGGGUCCUGAAGGAACGUUGAAGACGACGACGUUGAUAGGCCGGGUGUGUAAGCGCAGCGAUGCGUUGAGCUAACCGGUACUAAUGAACCGUGAGGCUUAACCUU
rnacentral:rRNA from 1 species